rnacentral:lncRNA from 1 species
UCUUAAUUUUAUACUUGAAACAAUUGAGGCUUGAAGAUAUUAAGUGUCUUAUCAGGCUAGUUACAUAAAGGAAAUUUCAACUGGGAUGAAAUACUAGCAUCUGGAUCAAAGGUGAAAAGACUCCAUUUAUUUCUACCAAUUCAGACAAUGCAGUGUUAUACAUACACUGAAUGAAUAUUCUGGAUGGCAUUGAUUUGGCAAAACAAAAACAAACCAAUACAGCAAUAACUGCUCCCUUGGAAAAGUUGGUGGAUUCAAAAUCAUGAGGUUCCCUCACCCCCCAUCCUGAGCCAAACAAAACAUUCUUUACCUGCUCAGUCAUACCUGGUAAUUUCACAACGAUUAGGUGAUCGUGUUCCCUGACUCUCAUCGGCAGCAGGGCUCCUGGAAGUCCUGCUUCUCAUUACUACUGUGGACUGGAGCCUCCCCAGAGCUCCCUGGGGUCCUUGGCCUGGGUGAAGAUGGAUGAAGAUCAGAUCCAGCAGCUGUGGGUAGAGGAGGGUCCAGGAAGCAGGCACAAAGAGAGGUAAUUCAUCCACAUGGCAAAACAGAGCAUGAUCUGGGGAAGCUGGAGGCCUCCCAAACAGGGCCUCAACUGUCAGAACAUGUAAUAAACAUAACCAGCCAGAGGACUGAGGGGAGGCAGAAGGCACACAGUUAACCACUGCAGCAGAAAGUAGCAGAAAUGAAGGGAGAAGGCAAUGUUCUAGAUAGAAACUGCUUUAUUGGCCUGGGUUUCUUGGAGCGAAGAAACAUUGAGGAGCAGAUCCCCCAGCUGAUUCAGCAGACGUGCAGCAGAAGCCGACGGAAACCUCUGCUGUUUUAAGGCACUGAGAUUUUGGAGUUGUUUGCUAUCAUAGUGUAAUCUAUCAUCUCCUAACUGAUUCAAUGUGUUUAUCACAAUUAAUUGGUUUUUCUCAGUUUUAAUAACCAUAGAAAUACACAGCUGUCAUUCAGAGCCUCUAACAAGAAAGUGGUGUGACUCAUUAAACUGGUAGCACUCCUGCCAAAACCAAAGCAAUGUGAUCAUUCCAGUAGCAAUUGUUGCAAUAGAACCGUUUUAUUAUUUGUAAGAUAAAUGUAAUUUCUGCUAGGCUUUUUCAGCCUCUGGAUAUAUCUUAGAUGCUCAUGACUACUUCAGCUCCUGUUUUUACUGAGUGUGCUUAGUUCAACUGUCACUGGCUUAUGUAUCCCGGGGCCCUUCCAGUUGGGCAUGCUGGAAAAAAAAACAUCCUCUUUGGAAGCAGUAGUACGUUCUUGAACCUCUCUGAACCUCAGUUUCCUUACUUAUAAAACAAGAAUUACAAAUACUACCUCACAGAGUUGUCAUGAUCAUCAAAUGAAAUAUUAUAAUUGCUGCUCUUCAAGCAGUAUACAGCACAGGUACAGCUGGCUCUCUGAAUGGGUCAGGUACCUUUCAGCUCUAAGGAAGGUGACCAUGAGUUUAGGUUUGCCCUAAAUGCUCCCAGUUUCUGCUACUUGUUCUUAUAUCACAAUUAUUAUUUUAAAAAUAAUGAUGUAUUUAAUUUAAUCUGGAGCAAUUUUGUUCAAUCUUUCUAUGUCUUUUGUGGCAUUGACAUUUUUAAAGUGGACAGGUCAGUUAUUUUGCAGAAUGUUCCUUAAUUUGGUGUUAUCUGUUUCCUCAUGAUUAGAUUUAGAUUAUGCUAUUUUUUGGCAAAAAUGUCACAGAAAGAUGUGUGUUCUUCUCAGUGCUUUGUGUCAAGAGGCACAAGAUGUGAAAUUGUCCCCUUACUGGUGAUGUUAAUUUUGAUCUCUUGGUUAGGUGGUAUCUUCCAGAUUUCUCUGCUAUGAAGUUUACAUUUUCCCCUUUGUAAUUAAUAAGUGACUUUGCAAGAGAUAACUUAAAACUAUGCACAUAUCCUGUUACUCCUGAAACUUUCAUCCAGGAGUUUUAAUAUCCAUUAAUAAUUCUUGUCUAAAUCUAUUAUUGUCAUGGCUGCUGUCUUAGUUUGUGUUGCUAUAACAAAAUACACAGACUACAUAAUUGAUCAAAUAACAGACACUUAUUUCUCACAGUUCUGGAGGCCUUGGAAUUCCAUGAUCAAGACACCAGCAGAUUCAGUGUCUGGUGAGGGCCUGGUGCCUUGGUGCUAAGUCCUCAAGAGAGGAUGAACAUUGUGUCCUCACGCGGUGGAAUGCAGAAGGGUAAAGGGCCUAGUUAGUUGCUAUCAGCCCUUUAAGGCACUUAAUCCAAUCCAUGAGAGCAGAGCCCUCCUGGCCUAAUCACCUCCUAAAGUCCCCACCUCUUAAUACUAUCACAUUGGUAUCAAGAUUCAGCAUAUGAAUUUUGGAGGACACAUUGAGAGUAUAGCAAUUACCAAAUGGUGAUCUUCUAAAUACAAUAUUUUUUUACUUUUAUUAGUUGGCUUUCUACUGUAAGGAAAAGCUUUCCCUUCCCGAUCAUUUGCUUACUCAGAUCCAUAGGGACUCACAUAUGUAGUCUUAUUUUAGUCAAUGGAUUUUGACAUUGAUUUUGUUGAUUUUCUUUGAUGCUCAAAUUGUACCACUGGCCAUCUCUAGUCAUUUUCUAAGUCUGUUUCAAAAACCAUGUCUUUCAGAAGCCUGAUUUAGUCCACUUCAGCCAGUCAGUAACUCUCAUUUCUGUGCUCCUCUCAGUCUAUGUACUUUCCACUCCUUAUACAAGUUUCUUAUUGGGUUGUACUUGUUGGUUUCUUUUCUCACAUUAGAUUGUGAGCUCUUCAGUAUGAAGGAAGUGUCUGAUUUAUCUCUAUAUCCUUAAUGCUUAGCACAGAGACUGGUGCAUGGAGGAAACUCAAUUUUUCCUUAUUAAAAAGCAUGAAUGAAUGGAAGAAAGAAAAACAGUUCUUAAGUUUCUACCAACCAGUUCCAAUCCCUUUUUGGGGUACUAGCUUUAACUAGCAAAAAGAAAUUAUCUGUAACAUUCAUAGCAGGCUGCUGUGAGUCUUGCAAUAGUGAGGCUGAUUCAAGGUGGAUUAAAUUGUCAACAUGUUUGAAUUUAACAUAAAUGAUCCCCCCAUUUCAGAAGCUGCCUGCCAACUCUGAUCUCAUAUCCUUAGUGAUUCUUUACUAUUAGCUUGAUAUGGUGUUGUUUUCUCUCCUAGUUCCUCACUCAAUAGGAACUGCUCUCCCCAAAGAUGAAAAGAAGGGAUGUAAUAACCUUUCCAUCACAGGUGGUGAACCUAGAGGAGAGGAUCUGAAUCCCUGAUCAGUCGGUCCAGGUUUGGCUUCCUUUCUGUGCAGCUCAGAUGAGUGACUUUGGGUGAGUUGCCUAACCUGAUUCAUCCUUUGCUUCCUUCACUCUGAAAUAAGGAUCAUAGCAUCUGUGACCCCAACUGAGGUAACCUGAGUGAAAGCAAAAUCACUUUGGAACUGAGAAACUGCUCUCUGGAACCUCCGCACCUUGGCACGUGGCAAUCCAUUUGCCUGAGAUGCCCUUCCUUGCCUCUGUUGUCUCUUUCUUGGCAAAUCCUUUCUGAUACCUCAGGGUUCUGCCUAUGUGUCAUCUCCUUGAGUGACAUAGUGCACUCCAGGUCUCUGUUUUGUCUGUACACACAUAAAAAGUCCCCUGGGUUAUACAUUUUGUGUUCACAGCCUAAGCCCUGAACUGCACCCGGAUGUUUCUCCUCAAGGUCAUGACGGUGUUAUGUAUUUAUUUCUUUGUAUAAUAAUGAUCCCCAGUUAAACUUUUAUCUUUCUGACCAUGAAAUUAUCUUUUGUCUCCCUCAAGUUCCCCCUCAAAUCACAAGGUGUACCCCAAAUUCUCAUCCUUGAGAAUAUCCUCUAUGUGAGGCACUCAUGCCUGCUCAUCCUAACCCAAUAUACUUCCCCUAGAUUUGGGAAGAAGAAAACUGUUUUAGGUGCCAAGAUGGACUGCAGAGGCCAGAAAAUAUGUAUUAAAAGAGGAGACAAUAUUUUUAUCAGGGAUUUUUAAAAGGAGCCAGAUAGGUGACAUUAAAACUUUCCUUUGGCAGCUCAUUCCCAAUGAAGAAGUAAUCAGACUCCACCUGAUUUAUCAGCUUUCACAACCAACUCUAUUUUCUUUCUCUCAUCCCUGUCUUUCCUUCAAGUGCAAUCUAGGGUGCAGCUACUUUAAUCUUACUGUUCUUCAAACAUGACUUCUUCCUUGUUUCUUUGUCUUGUCUCAAGGUACUUCUUCUGCCAGCAUAUCCUGUCCUAUCCCUCAAUGUUACCCGGAAAAUUGCUCAAAAAUCAUCUUUUCUGUGAAGCAUCCCAAAUCAUCCCCAAGGCAGUAGGUCACUCACUUCUUUGAACAUUCCUCAAUAACAGCACAGAUCAAGGGCCUGUGCUACCUUCUGAUCUGCAGCUGCAAAUAUUGCCUGAUGCAAAAUGAAUACUCUGUAAUAUUUCUGAAAAGGUGAAAGUGAAAUAAUGUGGGACGGAGCUUAUAGUCAUUGUUUAUGUACACAUUCCAGGCAUAGGGUUAGAAGCUUUGAACAUACUGUAUCUUAAUUUUUACAACAACAAUUUUUAGUAAAUUUUCUUAUUUUCAAAGGACACUGGGGAUCAGAGAGUGAAGAACUUGCCUAUGGUCACACACCUGGCCCCCAUACUCCCUGAGACACAACAACAUUGAUAUUAGACCAGUUAAUAACUCUACAAUGGCCUGUAAGUGUUCAAGUGAAAGGAAGAGUCGCAUAUCUCUCACUGUAAAUCAAAAACUAGAAAUGAUUAGGCUCAAUGAGGAAGCCACGUUGAAAGCUGAGAAAGGCUGAAAGUAGGCUUCUUGUGCCAAAUAGUUAGUCAAGUUGUGAAUGCAAAGAAAACAGGCUUGAAGGAAAUUUAAAGUGCUACUUCAGUGAACACAUGAAUAAUAAGAAAGUGAAUCAGCAUUAUUGCUAAUAGAAAGGAAGUUUCAGUGGUCUGGAUAGAAGAUCAAAUCAGCCAUAACAUUCCCUUAAGCCAAACCCUAAUC